rnacentral:rRNA from 1 species
GUGUAGCGGUGAAAUGCGUAGAGAUCUGGAGGAAUACCGGUGGCGAAGGCGGCCCCCUGGACAAAGACUGACGCUCAGGUGCGAAAGCGUGGGGAGCAAACAGGAUUAGAUACCCUGGUAGUCCACGCUGUAAACGAUGUCGAUUUGGAGGUUGUGCCCUUGAGGCGUGGCUUCCGGAGCUAACGCGUUAAAUCGACCGCCUGGGGAGUACGGCCGCAAGGUUAAAACUCAAAUGAAUUGACGGGGGCCCGCACAAGCGGUGGAGCAUGUGGUUUAAUUCGAUGCAACGCGAAGAACCUUACCUACUCUUGACAUCCAGAGAAUUCGCUAGAGAUAGCUUAGUGCCUUCGGGAACUCUGAGACAGGUGCUGCAUGGCUGUCGUCAGCU